rnacentral:misc_RNA from 1 species
UCCGAGUUGUCCCCGGCAGUCCCCUUAGAGUCCCCGGCAUUACCCGCUGGCAACUAAGAGCAGGGGUUGCGCUCGUUGCGGCACUUAAGCCAACACCUCACGACACGAGCUGACGACAGCCAUGCAGCACCUGUCUCCAGGUUCCUUACGGCACCCCCGCAUCUCUGCAGGGUUCCUGGGAUGUCAAGGCCAGGUAAGGUUCUUCGCGUUGCUUCGAAUUAAACCACAUGCUCCACCGCUUGUGCAGGCCCCCGUCAAUUUCUUUGAGUUUUAACCUUGCGGCCGUACUCCCCAGGCGGAUAACUUAAUGCGUUAGCUGCGCCACCGAAAGCCUAAGGCCCCCGACAGCUAGUUAUCAUCGUUUACGGCGUGGACUAC